UUAUCUAUUGAAAUAUAGUUUGGAUAUAUUUUAAAAUGUGGUUUCAUGGUGAUUUAUAAUUUUUUCCAGAAUCUCCAACCACCUCAGAGAUCAGUCUCUCCAGUACCCAGUCAUCUGUCCAUGAAGAGUGACUUCUCUAUGGCUCAUCCUAUACACUUUAGUGAUGGAUCAGGGACCUUUGACCCCAGAAUCUCCAAGCAAACUCAGUCUCUCCAGAGAUCAGUCUCUCCAGUACCCAGUCAUCUGUCCAUGAAGAGCGACUUCUCUAUGGAUCAUCCUAUACAUUUUAGUAGUGGAUCACGGACCUUUGACCCCAGAAUCUCCAACCAAACUCAGUCUCUCCAGAGAUCAGUUUCUCCUGUACCCAGUCAACUGUCCAUGAAGAGCGACUUCUCUAUGGAUCAUCAAAUAUAUUUUAGUAAUGGAUCAGGGACCUUUGACCCCAGAAUCUCCAAGCAAACUCAGUCUCUCCAGAGAUCAGUCUCUCCAGUACACAGUCAUCUGUCCAUGAAGAGCGACUUCUCUAUGGAUCAUCCUAUACAUUUUAGUAGUGGAUCAGGGACCUUUGACCCCAGAAUCUCCAAGCAAACUCAGUCUCUCCAGAGAUCAGUCUCUCCAGUACCCAGUCAUCUGUCCAUGAAGAGCGACUUCUCUAUGGAUCAUCCUAUGCAUUUUAGUAGUGGAUCAGGGACCUUUGACCCCAGGUAAGUUACUGGUCAGAAUUGAUGAUAUUUCUAUUGAAGAGGAGAACCUUCAAGAUCUGAAACCUGAUGUAUUUUGUGUAUCUGAGUAUAUACUGUAAAGCAUCUGCUUAUCAUUUGUUGUUCAUGUCAUAUAUUUUUUAUACAGUGAGUGUACAAAACAUUAUGAACACCUGCUUUUUCCACGACGUAGAUUGACAAGGUGAGUCCAGGUGAAAGCAGUGAUCCCUUAUUGAUGCCACUUAAAUCCACUUCAAUUAGUGUAGAUGAAGGGGAGGAGACGGGUUUAAUAGGGAUGCACCGAUAUGACAUUUUUGGCCGAUACCCACAUCCAGUAUUUUCCUUUUAAAACAACCCGAAUCCGAUAUCUGGUAUUUUCCUUGCCAAACCACCCGAUAUCCAAUAUUUUUCUUGCCAAUCAACCCGAUACCGAU
ensembl:lncRNA